GACGAACGCUGGCGGCGUGCUUAACACAUGCAAGUCGAACGGAAAGGCCCUGCUUGCAGGGUGCUCGAGUGGCGAACGGGUGAGUAACACGUUGGUGAUCUGCCCCUUACUUUGGGAUAAGCCUGGGAAACUGGGUCUAAUACUGGAUAGGACCAUGCUGUAGGUGGUGUGGUGGAAAGAUUAGUUUCGGUAAGGGAUGAGCUCGCGGCCUAUCAGCUUGUUGGUGGGGUAAUGGCCUACCAAGGCGUCGACGGGUAGCCGGCCUGAGAGGGUGGAAGGCCACAUAGGGACUGAGAGACGGAGCAGACGCCUACGGGAGGCAGCGGUGGGGAAGAGUGAACAAUGGGAGAAAGCCUGAUGCAGCGACGCCGCAUGGGGGAUGACGGGCUUCGGGUUGUAAGCUGCUUGCAGCCAUGACGAAGCGCUUGUGGUGACGGUAGUGGUAGAAGAAGCACCGGCUAACUACGUG
rnacentral:rRNA from 1 species